rnacentral:tRNA from 1 species
GUAGAUAUAGUUUAACAAAGAUAUUAGAUUGUGAUUCUAAAGAUAGGAGAUAAAAUCCCCUUAUCCACC